AAAGGCUUUAUACCAGGAACUCUCUGUCAUUUAAGUUAUCUCCUUCCAUCCAUAAUACUGUUUUAUAGACUGACAUAAAAAGUAGAUAAAAAGAGCUGGUACUAUUAGAUGAACUCCCUCAAUCUCUGGUUUACUUGUGUUUUCCUGGAAGAAAAAAAAAAGAAAAAAAAAAGAAGCCACCAUGGUUGUUUAUUUUAAAAGUGAUUCCAUUUUUGUUUUACUCGUGUUCACUACAGAUUACUGGGACUGAAAAGUGAAAACCUGGGAAGAAAAGGAGGAGCCUGGAAAAACACUGGAAAGAAAGAGAAAGAGAAGAAAUGAGAAGAAAUCAAGAGAGGGGUAUGCUAAGAAGCUGAGGUCAGAGACUGAACACAAAGAACUGUUUUUCAUUUCAUUUAAGAAUUGUUACACAUUGCUGCGGCAGGGGAGAGAUCGAAGUAUGAUGACAGUUUAAUGGGCUCUUCGGUCCUGGAGAGUUGAUAAGUCUGUUUUUCCAGUUGAAGAUCAGCGUGUGUGAACCUUCUUCCAAAGCAGGAAACUUUAAAUGGACUUCCAGCAAGUGCUGAGCUGCAGGGCUUUACAUAUCAGCAGUGCCACUGAAAUCAGCAGAAAAUUUGUGGAACAAGACGUUGAAGAUCUUUCCCUAAUCAGAGAAGGUAACAGAACUAGUCUUAGUGAAGAAAGCUGUGACAGAGCAGGAAAACCCAUCUGACUGUGUGCUUUUCAAUCUCUUUAUUCUUUCCUAAUAUGUUUUUCUUUAUCAUCAUCCACUUAACCUCCAGAGUGUUGUCUUCUAAUUCUGCUGUCACUUUUGACCUCAUUUUAC
rnacentral:lncRNA from 1 species